CCUCCUGCCCUCACCUCAGGUGUGUGCAUGUGGAUAUUUGAGCGCGCUGUGUCCUCAUUGUUGCUGUAAUUUAUCAGUAUUUUACAGACAGAUGGACACAAAGACUGUCAGGAUGCAGAAAGCAGUGAUUCUGGUUUCUGUGCUGGUCCAAGGGUGGACCUGGACUCUGCAGGGGUUACUUGUGCAGGAGAACGUUGAUGUGGAUCAGAGUUAUGUGAGGAAAGAGUCAGACUUCAUUUCUCCAGCCAAGAAGAGGAAGAAGAGGAAGAAGAUGUGGUAGAGGAAAGGAGUGACGAAGAAGAGCGGAGAUGGGGAUGGAAUGCAGAACAAGCCAAGAGGUACACACAAGGUAUGGUAUUAAAUAACGAAACUAAUGCUGUAAUACAAUUUUA